rnacentral:rRNA from 1 species
AGAGUUUGAUCCUGGCUCAGAUUGAACGCUGGCGGCAUGCCUUACACAUGCAAGUCGAACGGCAGCACGGGGGCAACCCUGGUGGCGAGUGGCGAACGGGUGAGUAAUACAUCGGAACGUGUCCUGUAGUGGGGGAUAGCCCGGCGAAAGCCGGAUUAAUACCGCAUACGCUCUGCGGAGGAAAGCGGGGGAUCUUCGGACCUCGCGCUACAGGGGCGGCCGAUGGCAGAUUAGCUGGUUAGUGGGGUAAAGGCCUACCAAGGCGACGAUCUGUAGCUGGUCUGAGAGGACGACCAGCCACACUGGGACUGAGACACGGCCCAGACUCCUACGGGAGGCAGCAGUGGGGAAUUUUGGACAAUGGGCGCAAGCCUGAUCCAGCAAUGCCGCGUGUGUGAAGAAGGCCUUCGGGUUGUAAAGCACUUUUGUCCGGAAAGAAAACCUCUGCCCUAAUACGGUGGGGGGAUGACGGUACCGGAAGAAUAAGCACCGGCUAACUACGUGCCAGCAGCCGCGGUAAU